UACGUAGGGGGCGAGCGUUGUCCGGAUUUAUUGGGCGUAAAACGCUUGUAGGUGGCUACGUCAAGUCGGACGUGAAAUCUCCCGGCUUAACUGGGAGGGGUCGCUCGAUACUGGCGAGCUCGAGGCAGGUAGGGGGAAGCGGAAUUCCCGGUGUAGUGGUGGAAUGCGUAGAUAUCGGGAGGAACACCAGUGGCGAAGGCGGCUUCCUGGACCGGCAUUGACGCUGAGGAGCGAAAGCCAGGGGAGCAAACGGG
rnacentral:rRNA from 1 species